rnacentral:rRNA from 1 species
GAUGAACGCUGGCGGCGUGCCUAAUACAUGCAAGUCGAGCGAACGGACGAGAAGCUUGCUUCUCUGAUGUUAGCGGCGGACGGGCGAGUAACACGUGGAUAACCUACCUAUAAGACUGGGAUAACUUCGGGAAACCGGAGCUAAUACCGGAUAAUAUUUUGAACCGCAUGGUUCAAAAGUGAAAGACGGUCUUGCUGUCACUUAUAGAUGGAUCCGCGCUGCAUUAUCUAGUUGGUAAGGUAACGGCAUACCAAGGCAACGAUGCAUAGCCGACCUGAGAGGGUGAUCGGCCACACUGGAACUGAGACACGGUCAAGACUCCUACGAGAGGCAGCAGUAGGGAAUAUUGCGCAAUGGGAGAAAGCCUGACGGAGCAACACCGCGUGAGUGAUGACGAUCUUCGGAUCGUAAAACUCUAUUGUUAGGUAAGAACAAAUGUGGAAGUAGCUGUGGAAGUCUUGACGGUACCUAAUCAAAAAGCCACGGCUAACUUCGUG